rnacentral:rRNA from 1 species
CAGUCGCCGCGGGAAUACGGAGGAUCCGAGCGUUAUCCGGAUUUAUUGGGUUUAAAGGGUGCGUAGGUGGCCUGUUAAGUCAGGGGUGAAAGACGGUAGCUUAACUAUCGCAGUGCCCUUGAUACUGAUGGGCUUGAAUAAACUAGAGGUAGGCGGAAUGUGACAAGUAGCGGUGAAAUGCAUAGAUAUGUCACAGAACACCAAUUGCGAAGGCAGCUUACUAUGGUUUGAUUGACACUGAGGCACGAAAGCGUGGGGAUCAAACAGGAUUAGAUACCCCGGUAGUCCCUGUCUCUUAUAC